UACGUAGGGCGCGAGCGUUGUCCGGAAUUAUUGGGCGUAAAGAGCUCGUAGGCGGUUUGUCGCGUCUGCUGUGAAAUCCCAGGGCUUAACCCUGGGCCUGCAGUGGGUACGGGCAAACUAGAGUGCGGUAGGGGAGAUCGGAAUUCCUGGUGUAGCGGUGAAAUGCGCAGAUAUCAGGAGGAACACCGGUGGCGAAGGCGGAUCUCUGGGCCGUAACUGACGCUGAGGAGCGAAAGCAUGGGUAGCGAACAGG
rnacentral:rRNA from 1 species